rnacentral:rRNA from 1 species
UACACUCCUACGGGAGGCAGCAGUGGGGAAUAUUGGACAAUGGGCGCAAGCCUGAUCCAGCCAUGCCGCGUGAGUGAUGAAGGCCCUAGGGUUGUAAAGCUCUUUCACCGGUGAAGAUAAUGACGGUAACCGGAGAAGAAGCCCCGGCUAACUUCGUGCCAGCAGCCGCGGUAAUACGAAGGGGGCUAGCGUUGUUCGGAUUUACUGGGCGUAAAGCGCACGUAGGCGGACUAUUAAGUCAGGGGUGAAAUCCCGGGGCUCAACCCCGGAACUGCCUUUGAUACUGGUAGUCUUGAGUUCGAGAGAGGUGAGUGGAAUUCCGAGGGUAGAGGUGAAAUUCGUAGAUAUUCGGAGGAACACCAGUGGCGAAGGCGGCUCACUGGCUCGAUACUGACGCUGAGGUGCGAAAGCGUGGGGAGCAAACAGGAUUAGAAACCCCUGUAGUCCCA